GUGCUCACUUUGGCAGUACAUAUACCAAAAUUUUGGAACGGUACAGAGAAGAUGAGCAUGGCCCCUGCACAAGGAUGACAUGCAAAUUCGUAAAGCAUUCCAUAUUUUU